rnacentral:rRNA from 1 species
UACGAAGGGGCUAGCGUUGUUCGGAAUUACUGGGCGUAAAGGGCGCGUAGGCGGUACUUCAAGUCAGGCGUGAAAGCCCGGCUCAACCUGGGAACCGCGCUUGAGACUGGAGAACUAGAGUUCGGGAGAGGGGGGUGGAAUUCCUGGUGUAGGGUGAAAUGCGUAGAUAUGCGGAGGACACCGAUGCGAAGGCACCUCUGG